rnacentral:lncRNA from 1 species
CUUCUUGAUCAGUACCGUUUGGUUCGGGUAUAAGCAAGAACUAGCUAUUACAGGGAUAGGUACAAGUAUGGGGAUAAGAAAAAUAGUGUUUGGAUGAAAAUUGGGUUGUUCCCGGGAAUAAGAAUAAUUUUAGAUAGUUUUAUAUAGAAAAUGAAGGUGUUGGUGGAGAUAACCGAGAACUACUAUUCUCGGAUAAAAAAUUACCGUUUGGGUAUAAAGGGAGGAUAAAGGCCUAUUCGUAUUCCUAUUCUCUAACCAAACGCUUCAGAGUCUCUAGCCAUGGAAAAGAUGAAUUUUAACUUUUUUGAGAAAAAAAUGUUUAUAGGAAAUUGAGCGAGCAUAGCACUACUCAACUAGUAAUCCUAGUCCCCAUCAAACGAGCUGGACUUGUGACUUAAAUUGAGGAGUAAAACUAGGGGCGGACGUGGAAUUGAAAAAGUAGCGUAAACAAACCAAUCCAAGUUGACAAUUUUGGUUUGAUAAUUUGAUUCGAUUUUGAUUGUAACUGUAACGUCGUAGUAGCCUCACAUUAGAUUAAAAAAAUAAUAUUGAUUGAAAUAUAUAAAAUCAUGCACGCUAAUAACAACAACUAGAUUUAAAUAUUUUGAACCGAUAGUUUAAGACCAACGAAUUAUCAUUACUAGCGGGUUUGGUCGUUAUAGUAAUCUGGUUCAAUUUUAAUUGUAAGUGGCCUACUUUUUGUUUGAAAAUUUUUCAAAUUAAUUUUUUUUGUCCUAGUAACCAACCAAAAUUUCAUGUGUUGGUGCAUGUAUCAAUAUAUAUAUAUAUAUAUAUAUAUAUAUAUAUAUAUAGAAUUAGGCUACUAUACUAUCUAUAGUACCGAGCUCCGGUACUAUAGUGUUUGUUUUCGAUCUUAGGGCGUUCAAAUCAAUGAUCCACACCGUUAAAUAUGAUCUAGGGUAUAUGAAUGUCUUAGGAAUAAAAUUUUAGUUUUUUUCGAUAUCGUUUACUUAGUAAAUAAAUUAUAUCAAAAUGGACGGUGGAAAUUGAAUAAUCUUUAAAAUUUGAGUAUAGGACUUUUAAAUUUAAGAUCAAGAAUGUUAACCUUAAUCUAUAUAGUUUAAAGUAUUUUCUAUCAAAAUUUGAAGAAAUUUAGAUUCUUCUACACCGUUAAACUCCAAACUUGUCAUAAUAGCCAUUGAAAAUUGACAAUUUUGAAAUAGUUUGAUCAUAAAGUAAACUAUGUCGAAAAAUUAUAAAAUUUUAUUUCUAGAAACUUUAAAUACCCUAGAUCAGUUUUAACGGUGUGGAUCAUUGAUUUGAACGCCCUAAGAUCGAAAACCAACACUAUAGUACCGGAGCUCGGUACUAUAGAUAGUAUAGUAGCCUAGCUCUAUAUAUAUAUAUAUAUAUAUAUAUAUAUAUAUAUUUGUAUAUGUUUAUACCCGAAUAUUUAUCACUGAGCUAUUACUUCGUUUUCUAAGUCAGUCCAGAAAAUUAAUUUGAUAAAUACAAAAUUAUAUGAAUUAAACCAAUAUCUUUUGUAAAUUUAAAUGGUAUCAAAUAAAUAAACCAAAUUGAGAUUAAACUGAAACCGAAACCAAAACACCAUUUUAACAACACAUCAAUAUUUUAAUCUUCUUGAUAUUUAGUAAAUAAAAAAAAUAAUAAAACAAGUGGAAAAAAAAAUAAUUAUUAAAUUGAAAUUGUUACACAAUGACAAUUCAAACCAUGUUGUAAAUCUAACACAAUUCUUUUUUAUAGUGUGAUGUUUGGCGAUCGCAAAAAUAAAGAAUUUUACUAGAGGAAGGAUAAAAAUUUAAUUAAGGAAUAUUUCUACAUGGUAUUAAAAAUUCUGAAAAAUAUAUAAAUUAUUUUAAGAUUUAAAAAGGACAUAUUACUCAUUUAUAAAAUUUAGAAAAAGUAUAUUAGUAUUUAUAUAUUUAUUCAAGAAACUGUUUUUUUUCUAAAUUAUUUUCAAAUCUCUCUCUCUCUCUCUCUCCUCCACUCUCCAUUUGUCCCUCGUUUACUAAAAGGAACACAGUUGUGAGGUGUGAGGUGUCUCACUAUCGCUUCUCUUCCUCCACCUGGUCUCCUCCUCUCGAUCCGAUCGUUCCCAUGGCUCUCCGAACCCUCGCAUCCAAGCGAGCCCUAACCCUAGCCCAAGGGUUAGGGUUCCGGCACGGCGGCGGCGGCGCCGCCCCCUCUGGGGAACACCUGCGUCGCCACGCCCGGGGGCUCGUGACCUUCUCCCUCCCGGAUCUCCCCUACGACUACGGCGCCCUCGAACCCGCCAUUAGCGGCGAGAUCAUGAAGCUCCACCACCAGAAGCACCACCAAACCUACAUCACCAACUACAACAAGGCCCUGGAGCAGCUUGAGGACGCCAUGGCCAAGGGCGACGCCUCCGCCGUCGUCGGCCUCCAGAGCGCCAUCAAGUUCAAUGGCGGAGGUAAACCCUACGCCCCCUUUCCGGUCUUUUCUUUACCCCUCUCCCUCAUCGCGCGUGUUCUUGGUUCCUGGAGUAGGGUUCUAUUAGGGUUUCGGAAUCGAUUCGAUGGUAGGUUUCUGGUUGCAUUUAUCUGGUUUGGCUUUGCAAUUUGGAAUCGUAUAUGACGAUUGGAGUUUUAACAAAUCGAGUGUUACAGAUCUUUUCUCUAUUUUCUCUUGUUGAGUCAUUUAAUUCCACUCAGUCGUGCGCACGAAAGCAUGCAAGAUAUGUGGCAUUAUUGGGAGAAAGAAUUACUCAUAGGAUCAAUAGUUUGUAUUCUAUGUUCUGUUGGAGCCAACAUGAUUAUCUUGUUCUAGGGUUUCAAGGAAAUUCUUAAUCAUAUCGUGUAUCUCUUUUAUUCAAGGUUUAUUUCAUCUAAUCUAAUGAACCAGGUUUAAUUCUCAAAAUCACAAGGAGAUUGUGGGAAUUUUCUUGUGGGAAUCGAAGAGUUCUGAUCUCUCCUUUUAAGCGUUCUUUGGUGUCUAACAGUGAAGAAUUAAUGUAAACAAGGUGUGAUAGGUCUUCUCGCAAGAUAAUUAUCACAAUAUUUAUAUCUCACUCUGUUUGCAGGUCAUGUAAACCAUUCAAUUUUCUGGAAAAAUCUCAAGCCUGUCAGUGUGAGUAUCUGGUAUCUGACUUUUGAAGCUUCAUUUGCGGUGACUAAUCUUAUGAAUUUCUAGGAAUGCAUCGCAACAUUUGGCAUACAUUCUGAGACAUCUGUACAUAACACCUUUGGCUUUGCUGUUGCAAUGUUUCAUUUAUCUUACUGUAACAAAAAAGAAUUCCUUUUGACAGGAGGGUGGCGGAGAGCCUCCUCAUGGGACUCUUGGUUGGGCCAUUGACACGGAUUUUGGUUCGUUGGAGGUCCUUAUACAGAAAAUGAAUGCAGAAGGUGCUGCUUUACAAGGAUCUGGAUGGGUGGUAAGUUCUGUUGGAGCAUCUUCCUUUUGGACACCAUGAGCUCAUGGAGUAUUAGAGGAUAUCACAGUGCAGUGCCUUUUAGUUGAUUGCUCAUUUUCUUUGUAUAAUCUCCGAACAGUGGUUGGCUUUGGAUAAGGAGAUGAAGAAACUUAAGGUUGAGACCACUGCUAAUCAGGUAAACUUCACUUUAUAUAGAGAUUUGCGUUUCUUCGUUUGAACUGGAUCUUCAGAGAUGCAUUCCCUUUUCUCUGAGUUGAAUUAUGUUGGUGAAGUAAUAUCGUUCUUUUGUAUCAUUUAGUUAACUUUUGUAUUUGCUAUAUGAUGUUUCAAUCAGGUAAAAAAGGUAAAUUUUCUACUCAUACUUUUAUUUUUAACAAACCUUCCAUGAACAAAAAUAUCACAAGUUACUAGAUAAUUUGCUUACGGAUGACUACCGGAAACCAUUGUUUGUUCAUGAAAAUCAGCUAAAUAAUCAGCUAAAAGAGUGUGUGAAAAGUCUUUGUUUAUGAAUAAAAAAAACACAACAUAAGUAACCAGUGUCCAAUUAAAGUGAUAAUCAGUGAAAUAUUUUCAUGAGAAAAUGAGCAAGUGAUAUUAAGGACUAAGUCAAUAGACAGUUAGCCACCAAAUUCUUUUUUAUAUAUCAAAAAUUAUUUUCUGGACAUAUGCAUCUCAACAUCUUCCUUCAAUCAAGCAGUGGGUGGCAUAUGGACUUCAGUGAUCUUAUCAUGUCAUGCUUUGAAAAAUCUAGUUGAAUCAACUCUCCGGAGCUUUAGCGCGUGGUUAUUUUAAAUGGUAAACUAUCUUACAUUGGAUGAUUCCAAUCUCUUAAUGCAAUUUUAAUUUUAAAUUGGACAACAUAGAUAACCAACUUUAAAUAGAAAUACUAGGUUAUGAUGUUACUCAGUUGAAGUCAGUGUUUGAAAAGGCGCGCCUCAGUGCCUAGGUGCAAGGCGCGAGUCUCAGCGCCUCAGGGAGUGAGGCGCGCGCCUCAGAUGCGCCUCGUGAUAUUUACGUUUAAUGUAUUUAAAGUGUAGAUUUUUGGGUUUUGAAUUUCUUCAAUAUAUUCUAAAAUGUUAAGAAAUUUUUUAAAAAAAUUUCUAAUUGAACACUUUCUUUUCCUUUUCUUUUGGUCGUUCUCUCUUCCACCCUUCAAUGGCAAUAAAUAGCAGCGGCAAGAAGAAAGAAGCAGCAGCAAACACUUUUAAGCUGAAAGUUGAAACAUAUAUUUUUUUUAUUUUUAUACUGAGAACAUUUAUGCAUGCGAUUUCUUUAUUUUUUUAUAGUUAUUUUGUUUUUGUAUAAUUAUUUUAGAAUUUUUUAAUAUAAAACAUCCAUUUAAAAUAGGCUUGUUAAAAGUGUUUUAUUUUUAUUAGAUAUGCGCUUCGCGGUGCGCCUAGCGCCUAGACUCCAUAAGACCUUUAUGCCUUAUUGCGCCUGGUGCCUUUUCAAACACUAGUUGAAGUAUACAAAGUACAUCAGAAAACACUAACCGUUAGAAGCACUUAGAGUUGACCUUAAUUUUGCUGUUCUUGGAUUGUUUGUAAACUCGAUUUUCUGGGAUUGAUUGACAAAGACGGAAAAUUAUUUGCAAAGUCUCUCUGUUUCUUUGCUUAAAAAGAAAAGAGUAAUUUGCAAACUAACCGAUGAUUGCAACACUGGGGAAACUCUAGGUGAUCUGAACCUCAUAAAACUUGAGGAGAAUAAAAUUGGAAAACAUAAAACGAUGCCAAAUGCAACUCAGAUUAAAUGUUACUAUUUUACAUGGCUGGAUUAGUUUCUAUACAUGUCAAAUGUGAAAUGAUCUCAAGUCUCCUGAGCCUUAGAUCUAAGAAGAAAGUAAGAAGCCCUUGUAGCUGGCAAUUGUAAUGAGAGUUGUCUUUUGAUUAUGUAAUGAUUUGCUCCUAGGCCACCUUUCUUUGUGUCUUCCUGGAACUAAGUUUCUUGAGCCAUGAUCAAUCCCAUGUGCAUACUGUGUCACUUAAACAUAUAUCAUUUGCUAAUUUGCAAUCUUUAGUCACUAUAUGCAUAUGACAGUAUCUAAACAAUUCCUUUUUCACAGGAUCCUCUAGUGACUAAAGGAGCAACCUUGGUUCCUUUGCUAGGUAUAGAUGUGUGGGAGCAUGCAUACUACCUGCAGGUAAAUAUUGUGUCUUUUUCGAAUUUCAUCAUAAAUGUAUAGUAGAACAGUAAUCUUACACUUUGCUGCUGCACUUUAAACAGUUUUUGUAUUUAUAGUAUCAUUGACUGUAAAUAAUGAUUUCUUUCGACUUCACAUUACACCAUUUAAACUUUCAAACAUAAGCACUCCAGAACCUGGAAAUAAUAAAGUGAAGAUCUGCUGCUAAUUACAACACGUUCUACUGAUGGAGGGUUCCAAUAGCGUACGAAAUGUUUUAUUAACUAUGAUCUACUAGAUGAUCUGCUAUUUAAUGGAUAUCUCUUUUUCUAGGGAGUCAGACUAUGAAUUGUAACUGUUCACUUUUCCUCUACUCGUAAAGCCUCAUAACUUGUUACCAAGUUCUAAUGCUAAAUCUUGAAACUAAUGAUGAUUAAGGCUUCUCAGACUUCUGACCAUGGCAGAUACCAUCUAAAAGAAGUAAAAGUUAGAUAAGCAUUUUUUAACUUUCAGUACUAUCUCCGCUUUCCUCAUCAUCUCUCUGUAUCUAUAUCCUCAAAGUUAGGGGUUUUGUAUUAGUCUUUUGGUUGCAGAGACAAUGAAGAAUGCACUUGUUUUGGCUAUUUAGCUAGUAUAGCAGUUUAUCUAGGAUGGUUAUCAGGCUAUGCAAAAAAUUAACAAAUAAAGAGAAUAGGGUCACACCCUCACAUUUGGUGAACUCCUCUUAGGGUUGGAAGUUCCUUUUAGGUUGAUUGAACUAUACCUUUGCUGCUUCCGUAGCUUGUCUUAUUUUUCUGUUCAGAAGGUGUGGCAGGUAAGUUUCCUUUUUCUUUGAGCAGUACUUGAGAAAGCAAAUUAUACUUUAUGUGCUGACAACUUGACAUGGUUGGUUAACUCUGACGAGAGGAAUCAACUCCAUCUGUUAUCAGCCUCUUGUUAGUUUUGAAAUAUGUCCUUUAUGGUAUCAAAUAGAAUUCUAUACAACACACUCAAUUUACCACAGAUUCUGAAUAGAGUGGCUGGAAGAUUGUAUUUCAAAUGUGAUUAAAUGAAAAUGUUAGAAUUAGCAGUCAAUACCCUGGUGAUGAAUUAUCUAUCCACAUAUAUGCUAGUCUGGCUAGGUUUUUAUGGCUGCUUGAAUAAGGUCUAAAAUGGGACACGCUAUGUUACUUUCUGAUGAUUUAUUUGUUUCACACAAUCAGAGAUCUAUAUUAUGGCUAUGAUUCAAAAAGCAUGUGAAAAUUACUUGUGACAUAUCUGAUACAUCUGUCAGUAAAGAAUACUCUAUUGCUCUCUGAGAUGGUGCUUGUGACGUUUUAAGAAAUGUUUUAUAGCUGGAUUUGUGUUGUGCUUAUCUUCCUCAUUUUGAUUUUAAGCUAGGUGUUGAUCUUAAACAUUUUUUGGGUUAAUUUUGACGAAGAAUUUUCUCUGAUAUCUUGGAUAGUCUAUCGGUGAGAAAUAUGCUUUGUACUGUGUUCUUGUAGGAUGCCUAAAUAAUGCACUUACGAAAGAUUUUCGGAACUUGGCAGAAUUAUGAAAAAAAAUUGCAAUCAUUAGUUUUCUGAGCCAAUUUGACUCCAACUUGCCUUAGAAAGAAAUUGAGCUUGCUCAUCAAAUUCCUAAGAUCUAAGUUUAUGGUCUGUAACUUAUUUGUCUCUCUGUAAAUUGGAAAUGAACAUUUAGUACUAUUAGAGUAACUUAAAAGUAGCCGCAAGCCAGUUUAUAUCAUAUUCUCAAUUCUUGAUAGGAGUUCUCUGUCAAGAGCCAUAUUUUUCUCGUUGGUCUAUCACCACGAUUGAACACCAUUAAAGUUGAAUGACUAAAGCAAUGGAGCUAUCCUUAAUUAUAUUUUGUAAUAAAGCGAAUAAGAUUUGCGACUACAAUUUUAUUUUCUUUUCUUUUCCUCUCCUGUUGAGAUUGGAAAGGUAUCACCCACAUAUGUAGCCAAAAUCAUUAAAUCAAAGCAACACUAUUUACCAGUGUGGAGGCACAGGUACCCACGUAGUUAAUGUAAUAUAUGGAAAUCUAAAAUCUGUUUUGUAUGCAUUUACAAGUUUUAACUGCGAAGUGGGCAAGUUCUUGCUGCUCGUAUAAAAAAUCUUUUCUCAGGAUGUUCUUGUUGUUUUAUUUGAUAAUAAAUUACCAUGAACUAGGAAUGGCAAUAUAGGAGAUGGAUGCAAUGAAAAUAGCUUCACUUGUCUUAGUGAGCAUGUAAUGAAAAUGUUGGGCAAACUUCUUAACAAUUCAAAUACUUUGCAUUAUCUCCAACCAUAAUCGUCCAUUGUAAUGUGGUUCAACCAGUACCAGAUAGCUUUUCGGACCUAGUUUAUCAGUAGUCAAUCAUUUGGGUGAAUUAAUGGUACUGUAUAAAUGGAUUAUGAUUCUCUGAUGCAUAGAUUCUGUAAUUUAUUUUUCUUUUGCAGUUUGUGGGUGCAUCAGAACAUUUUCUGAUGUCGUAUUUCAUUCUCAAUGGUUCUUACUAUUUAUAUGCUUUUUCAUGGGAGUAUCUGUUUGUGUGCUUUAGGAUUAUCAGUUUGUUCGCUUAAUUACAUUUUGAUGCUGUGUUGCAGUACAAAAAUGUUAAACCCGACUACCUUAAGAACAUAUGGAAGGUCGCGAACUGGAAAUAUGCCAGCGAGGUUUAUGAGAGCGAAAUCGCCUGAGGUAAGCUUUUCUAUGUCCAUUCUAACAUGGGUUAUCGCAUGCAGUGUUGCCCUUCUGCGUUUGCCAUGAAGAGAGGAUACUUUUAAAUUGAAUAAAUUUGGACCUUCUAGGCCUGAAAUCUUGUUGAUACAUUAUCUACUAGUUGAAUAACACCGCAGUGCCUGUAGAUGUUUCUUCUUAAUCUUGUCCACUUGUCUACUGAAGGCCUCGUUUGGUACCGCUGUUGAUGUUUUUUCCAAGUACAAAUUCUAUGAGAUAAAGUGCAUUGAGUGAUGGCAGAUGCUCGUAAUUUAUACAUCUACAAUGUUUUGGCAACAAAAAUGGUAAAUUUGGUACCACCUUACCAAGUUCUUACAUGGUUUCUUUUUUUUUCCCAAAACAAGAUGUCAUUCCAUGUUCGCAUAUCACAUUGAGUAAUUAUGAGAAGCACAAAGAAGUCCAUCUCUCAGUGCAUUUGAUCAAAAUAGAUUUUGCUGAGCAAAAAACCAACAGCGGAACAAAACAGGCAUGAACUACAAAUUUUCACAUUCGUGUUUAGUGCUAGAAAAGGGGCUAAAUUAGACUAUUAGGUCUUAAAUUUUUACUCGAGUUUCCUCCUCAACUUUGGUUUACUAUCUUAGGGGAUUUAUACUCUUGAGUAUAUAUAUUUCAGUCUGAGUCUUAUCAUCGAAACAAAAAAGUGAUGUGACACGAAGUGUGAACGUCCUAUUUUAGUAGGUGUAAUGGAAGUAGUGUGAAUCUCAAGGGCAGUGGAAGUUGAGAGUGUUGUUUUGGUAAUGCAGCGGCCAAAUUCAAUUAUUUCGGUAUUUGAAGGUUAGUGGUUUAAGGAGUUUGAAUUGACGUGGAUGUUAUGAAAUGAUGGUUGGCUGCUUCACAGGUUGGUGGUGCUUUUUUUUUUGAAUUUUGUAGUAUUAGAGAAAACUUUCAAAAUGAAAUUCGUCACUGGCACGUUUUGCAAUCUGCACUAACCGCUUUUUAUGUCUAAAAAUUUAAGAUUAUAAUUUAUUAAUAUGUAAUGAUUUUAGUACUGUAGGAAACUUUAUCAACAUAAAGAAUAUAUUGUUGCAUAUAUAUAUAUAUAUAUAUAUAUAUAUAUAUAUAGAGAGAGAGAGAGAGAGAGCUAGGCUGAGAGAGUAUUGGUAGCACGGAGGCAUCUGUGCUAUCAAGUUGUUUUUAAUGUUGCGGCUUUCAAAUCGACGAUCGGCUCCAUUAGAUUUUGAUCUACACUAUUAAAAAUAGAAAUUAAAUUUUAUAAUUUUUCGGUAUCAUUUACCUGUCAAACGAGUAGUUUUAAAAUGAACGACUGAAAAUAAAAAUCUUAUAAAAAAUAAUAAUAAAAAAUUUAAAUUUAAAAUCAGAGGUGAUGAUCUUACUCUAUAUUGUGGAAAAAAUUUUUUAUAAAAAUUUCAUCAUAUUUGAAUUGUUUUACACCGCUAAACUCAUAAACGCAUCACAUCUACUAUUAAAAUUGUCAAUUUUGAAACCUUUUGAUCACCAGCCAAAUGAUAUCGAAAAGUUAUAAAAUUCAGUUUUCAAAUAUUUUUAAUAGUGUAGAUCAAGUCUGAUGAAGCCGAUUGUCGAUUUAGAAACUGUAUCAUUGAAAACAACUUGGUAACACGGAGGCUUUCGUACUAUUGAUAGUAUACCAGCUAGCUCUCUCUCUCUCUCUCUCUCUCUCUCUCUCUCUCUCUCUCUCUCUAUAUAUAUAUAUAUAUAUAUAGUAGAAUUACUAUAACUUUAAAUUUGAUGCUUUCAAUUUUUUUAACCUUUAAAUUAAUUUUUUUUUAUCAUUUUUAUUUUUUAGAUUAAUAUUAUUAUUCUAUGAAACAACUAGAGACCACGUAAUCUUAGGGGGGAUUAUUAUCAUCUUAAUUGUACAAUUCUUUAUCUAAAGGUUAAAAAAUUAAAAGCAUUUAUUUUUUUAAACUUUCAAAAGCAUAGUGGUUCUACACUAUUUGCUGCUUUUAUUAAAUGCAAUACAUAUGGAUUGUCACUAAUAAUUUUUUUAACGGAUAUGACAUAAAUCUCAAAGAGCCUGCGGCAGAGGCAGAGAGCAUGGUUGCUGAUGGUGAUAACAUACAGGGAUAGUGCUGGCAACAAGAGUACCGAAAGAUCUAAGAACGACGAGGACGCCUUAAAUCCUUUAGUACUCUCUCUCUUGCCGCCAUAUGCUGUAGCUAUCGCCCCCGCCCUUCGGACGCGUUCUCCCUUCUCAUCUUCGUUAAAUCUUUCGAUAUUGUCAUCAUCUUUCAAUAUUCUCAUCGUCGCCACCCUCCACAGCCAUUUUCCUUACAAGCUCCCCUCCACAAUUUAUGUCAUAUCCAUUAAAAAAAUUAUUAAUAAUAGUCAACAAGCGAUGCGUUGGUUUUGAAAGCAAAACGGAAAAAAAAAACUAUUUUCUCACGAAGAGCAUAAAAGAUAUAAGUGCUUUUUAAAAAUUUCUCUGAUCAAGUUAUAAAAGGAGACGAGUAACAAACGAAUGACGCCAUUAGUGGCUCAAUAAUAUGCUCUUUGGAAAAGCACGUCUCCGUUCUCACCAUCACAGACGCUAAUGAACACCGCCUCGAUUACGACCUCGUUGCUCCACCCACGACCCACACACAUUCUGAGCCCUCCCCUCCGGCGCCGAUGGAGGCGGAGGAAGAGACAGUGAUAAAGGUUAAAAAUUUAGAUUGAAUAUAUAAAAUUCAACCUGGCCCGCUUUUGCAAAAUCAAUAAAUAUUUUAUGCAAAUUGAUCUUAAAAAAUAAAAAAUUAUUAUUUUUUUUAAGAAAAAACUAUUUAAGGUUUCGCGUGCAACCUACCCUCAGGCAAGAUACCAAAUCGUGCGGUGAAUAUUCAGUUGGGCAGACAGGCCAUCUCUGAAAAUUGGAUCAAAUCACCAUCGUCAGCACGUACAGGUUUGCUUUUGCUUCCUCUUCCAAAAGUGGAACCUCCCUCCUCCUUGCACGCAUUUGAUGGUGCUCCCAAAGCCAACUAGCUGAAAAUUUCACUCACCUUUGAUGCCGAAUUGCGUGAGCCAGCUCGAGGCAAGAAGCCAUCGGGCAAUUCGUCUUGACUGCGUUCGGAGCAAUAUGUGAUCUGCACGCGGCGUAGCCUUCCUGCGUGCAAUCUCUCGGCAUCAUGUACGCCUCAAUAAUGUUGCACAACUAAAUGAAUAAAUUAGACAGAAAAGAUACUGGAAUAAGCAGCAGCAGCAGCAGCAGCAGCAGCAGCAGCAGUUAAAAGUCAAUAAUUCUUCAUCUUUUUCUAUCAAUAAGAUCAGAUCUUCCGCCGUAUAAACUUUAAAAGGAUCCUCAAAAGGAAAUGCUUAGUCCAAAAUAUUGGCACAACUAAAGAAUAAAAAGAUAGUAACACCUACCCUUCGUAAGCUGUUGAUGAGGGUGGCGAGGGGAGGAGAAUUAAUUCUCGCUCGGCUUGCAAUCUGUCGAUCGGAGAAAGGAGGGAUGUAAGAUUAAUACCCAUCGGAACAUUUAAACACACCUGUAAAUCAGAUCUUUAUGGCCACAGCAAUGACGCAGCUAGUGAGGGGAAAUAUCCGAGGCACAUCGGCCGAUGGAAAGUAAAACUUAAAUGGAUUAGAAAUGUUUGGGCGUUCUCAAAGAAAUCAAAGUUGCUAAACUAAAAAAAAGAAAAGUGUCAAGGUUGCUUCUCUGGAAUAAAUACCUCGUCGAGUUUGAUGUAUCCAGAAGGCAGCAGAGGGUCACUUUCCUCGAUCAUUAGGUUGAGAAGCUUUUCUAAAUCGACACCGUUGCCUUUGCCGUCAGUGUAUGCCCAUCCCCAUUCCGUAGCUAAUCUUAACAUAUCAGAUAAAUAUGCCGCAUCAUGAAGAGGGCCGGUCCAAAGCGGACCAGAGACAACUACAGAGCUGGAAACCUGUAGAAAAUAAUACAAGGCAUCAGAUGUUAUUUUAGUCAAUACUAAAACAAGGGGGCUUGGCGAACAUUUUGUAGUCAUACAUUCUAAAUGUAUGGAAAAAUAAAAUUGAUCAAUCAGGCACAAUUGAUGUGAAUAUGGGGGAAAUCAUUCCUACUACAUUAGCCAUCACAAGUAUGUGACCAAGAAGAAUUAAAUGCUACGAAGUAUUUGAUAAUCCUUCAAUGUUUGCACGUUAUAGUUCACAAUCAUUUUGUGGAAAAUUUAAAUUAAAAAGUGGACAAAAGAUUCACUGAAUGAACCAAGUCAUUUCAAACAACCAGCACGUGCUGGAAUGUUCUACGGUUCAGCUGUACCCAGCGUAUCUAUUUUUGACAAUUCAUAUACUGAAAGAAGAAUUUGCAUAAUGCAAACGAGUCUAGCGCAUCUAAUUUCAAGGACAUGCCAGAACGAUAUACAAACGGGCAUGCAUAAGAGAAGAUAAAUUACCAUCACUUGCAGGAACAGAUAUCCUAUCUUUCAACUUUCGAUCCAUAUAAUAUUCCUGUAUGGUAGUAAAAUUCUCUGAUAAUUUUCAAGAGCUAAAUUUAGAAGAGGCUGAAAUGUAUACCUCGCCAUUUCUACAAGGACAGGAAAUCUGCCCGAGUUCAUCCCAAGAAUAAGUUUGAGAGUGCCCACAUAGUUUGCAGUAACUUAUGAAGCCGUAAUGGCUGCAAGAGGAAAGAAUAAAAAAAACUGCAUAUCAUACAAUGUUUUUUCGAGCUGUUAAAAAAAAGAUACAGCCACGAAUAUUAAACUAUCAGAGGGUAAUUACGACGUGUCCACCUGAAGUCGUGGUCCUUUCCACGGGAAACUUGUAGCAUCACUCUGAAUACAGGAGCAUGAUACGAAUAGUAUGAGAACAGUGGCGUUAUCUGAAAGCCUACAGCAGCUGCUUCACGUAAAGCACCACCUAAAAGCAUUCGCAAACCGAUCUCAUUUGAAUAUGGCACUGGGCGAACAUAUGCUCCAUAGGAAGCCAAAGAACUAGAAGGAAACAAAUAGUUACAUACACACUACCCAAGAUUCCUACUUAAUAAAUGGAACCACUACAAUCAUGAAACAAUUACAUUUUGAAGCACAUAAAGAAGAUGGCCAAUUAUAAACAUCGUAAGGUAAAAUUGUUCGCCCAAUGAAGACCUGAAAAAAAAAGAAAAAAAUGGGCUGGUUCACACUCCCACACUUUUCUAGAUAAGAUUUUCCUAAUACUACUACUUUCAAGGCAGAACCUGCGAAUUGCCAUGUAAUGCAGAAUCUCUGGCCAGUUGAAGUUCAAGAGUAGUGGUAAAACUAUAUUUGGCUGCUAUAAGAUUGACAAAAAACUUAAUGGUUCCAAAUGUUGAGCGGUCAAGACAUGAUGCUGAAAUGAGAAUGUUUUAGAGUUAUAAAAGAUUGAAAGGUCUCACUUGAGAGAUAGAGAAAGAAAUAAGAAACGAAAUAAUGGUGGAACAGAUAUAAAAAGAUAAGAUAUUUAAAAUAGUUUGGACAUGCUUAAGGAACCUUUGAUUUAUGGAGGACAAUAUCAAAAACAAAAUUGAAUAGGGAAAAGAAUUCAUAUACCCUCUCACAAAAACAAGGCGAUAUCGUAUCUUCUGUAAGAUUCAAAUAAACUCGUAAUGACAUAGUAUCUCAGCCAAGCUAAAGAAUACAAUUGAAAGCAUUGAAGGCUCCAAUUUCAUUUAUUCUAAUAAAAAGGGGAUCUCCUUUGUCUUUCAAAAGGAGAAAAUAAACUUGGUGUCAAGGGCAUUUGGUCCUCCUCCAGCUAUCAUGCAUAUCAAACCUGCUUUACCCUAAGAAAAAUUAAAAACUUAUGAUUCAGCAAGCUGAAUUGGCUUGCCGAAUCAGUAAAUACGCUUCACUCAAGGUGGUCCUACAUGUGCAUAAGGACUCCUUGAUCGAACGGUCCUCACUGAUUCGGUGAGAAUAGUACGACUCUUAACCUCAUAGAAGGCAAACAGGCUAAAGCUUGUCUCCUAAUUUCCUCUAAAAGGACAGUAAACAUUGCACAAACAAUAAUUCUUUUUCUUGCUUCUUCGCGUGGAGAUCGAAUGUAAAUUUCAGGAGAAUAUUUGUCCAUUUAACAUAUUCUCCAAUACUUUUGAAGAACACAAAAAUGAAAAAAAGAAAGAAAGAUAUGCAAGCACAAAAAUGCCCACCACUUAUUUCAUCAAAUAAACUACCAUUCCACCCAAGAAGUCACACUCGCAAUAGCAACACAUCAAUAACACUGCUUGCUAAGCGUAUUAUUCGAAAAGCUGUAAUGAACACGCAAAAGAACCAAUUGUGCUUAAUUCAUCAAACGAAAGAAGCAUUAGAAUGUUACCAACGAGGGCGAUGCCCUCCUGAUGAUCUACCGCAGGUCGACGUGACGUACAAAAGCCCUCCGAUCUUGACCGCGGCGAUGCCCGAUCUCAAGAACGAGGAGUCGCUCCCGAAGGAGUCGACGUCGACCAGAUCGAAGAACUCUCUCCGGAGAUAGCAAUCGGCGAGAACCCUAUUGGCACCGAAGUGGGUUACGACCCACCUCCGCUCACCGAGGGUGGAGAACCUGGGCUCGCGGGCGAGGUUGGCGAGGACGAGGGGGCGGGAGCCCUCGAAGGCGUCGUUGGCCCAGACGAAGUCGGCGCCGCCCUGGGCGAGGUAGCGGAGGGCGCGGACGCCGCACCCGCACAUGGCGUCGAGCACGCGGAGGCCGCCGCCGCCGCCGCCACAGCAUCGGCGGAGGAGGGAGGCGGAGAGGACGCCGAGGUCGCGGCCCACGGCGCUCUCGCGGCGGAAGAAGGAGUCGCCGGUCUCGAACUCGACGCCGCGCUCCGCCUCCCUCGAGCUCGUCGGGGUCAGGGUUCUCCUCCUCGUCCUCGUCCUCGUCCUCCUGAUUCUUCGGGGGCUAGGGUUAGGGUUUAAGGGAUGAGGGAGGAGGAUUGGGUGAACGGAAGAGAGAGCGAACAUGGCAUUGGCGGGGUAACGAGGAUUUUCAAGAUUGCCUCGAGCCAACGAUUUCUGGGAAUCGGAUUUUAUUAACGAGGCUUUCUUUUCAGCCUUCGAACUAUCGGAUCGGCUUUCGGACCCGAUAACCCUUUUCUAAGAUCAAUAUCAGGCGAGUCGAGUUGGAUUCAAGAGGGAAAAUACUAAAAUUAUAUUAGAUUCUCCAUGAACAUCUUUUGUAAAUAGUAACUUUUGGAUUUUGAAACUUAUAUUCUAGCUCCACAUCCCACCGUCGUAGAAAGAAGAGUCAAAAUUUUUUUUAUUUUUAGUAAAUGCGGCUAAGGAAGAAGUAAAAGCUAAACAGUUCGCCAAACUUCUGCUACGGGCUAACAUGCAGGUUCGGAUUACUUAAUAGGCAUAAUGAACAAAAGACGGCCACAACUAUUGUGAGAGGUGAGAAAAUUGGGGAAAGUAAUUUGCGGCUUCCACUCUGCCAAACUACAAAAUGUCACUGGAAAGAUUACAUCUGCGAACAAGCAACAUUUUGUGAUUAUGGGGUUAUAUAACCCUUUUGCUAAGCACAAGAUUGAUCCUCCAAAAAAGGGGGAAAAAAUAUCUAUUAUAGAGGCAUUCAUGUAAUUGUCUAACUAUGACUGUACCACUAAUGAGAUUAGAUUAAGCUCAGAUCUCGAAGAUCCAGCAUCAAGAUUCAACUUGAGAUUCAGUUGUGGAUUGAGCUAGAUGAGUUGGCAAACUUAUUCAACUUUUGCCACUCCUCCCUCUGGCAUACUGCUUUCUGCAACAGUCUCUCUCACAAACCUGGAAAGAGUAUUACUUGUUGAGGUUAAACACUUUUGGGCCAAAAUUGACAGCUAUACAUGAGUGGGCAACAAAAGCCUAUAAUAUUCAGUUAGCUAUCUACAAAUUAGCUUCAACCCUUUGCAGGUAUUUAAUUGAGGGAAAAUUAGUGAAGCUGUGACAUAGGCAACAAGCAAAAACAAAGGGCAGAAAGAAGCAAUACCUAGCUAACUUGUCUUGAGAUGAUUGCAAGACAUAAAUUGCAAGGAUGAACGACAGAACGAGCCCUGUGAUUCAAAUGAACAAAGCCAUGUAAAAGACGUUUCACCAUGAUCACCACUGUAAUAUUCUUUUUUCCCCAAAAAAGCCCAAAACAGAAUGUUUAUCUAAUGAGUGGCAAUGCAAAGUAUUAACUAUGCAUCAACAAAAGAUAGAAUGAGAUAUAUAAGGGCUUUUUUAAUGUAGAGGGUCCGCCGUACCUGAUCCAAACAAUACAUAAUAACCCCCUGCAACAUCUAUUUCUGAUUGCUCCUCCCUGUUAUUAAAUGUAAAAGUGUCAAACAAUGUCUAUAUAAGAUGCAGACAAAAAUAGAAACAUAUCAUUCACCUAUAAUAACCUAAUAAAUUUAACAAGUAACAACCAUGGAAGGAUAGUUUCAAGGGCGUUCUUCAGUUAAAUGGACCAGAAGUAAAAUUUAACAACUACAAAAUAGCCAAAUAGCCAACUGGACCACAACUGGGGAUGUAAGUAGAACUACACAAGACAAAAGUGAUAGUAUCUCUACCUCUUAUGCUUUAUCGUGUGAUUAUUGUCUGAUUCUUGAGCUAAACAAAUUUUGUUCCGAACAAUGAUGUAUGGCAAUCUCAACAAAAGAAAAUCUAGGAUAUAAUGAUUAGUCAAUAAACAUAAGUUGUUAAAUACCAAAAAAGAGAAGAAAAAAAUUAGUCAAUCAUUCAAAAUGCCAAGUUCACUGACAUUUAACUAGAGAAAAGGGGAGUAAUUAGGAUAAAGAGGCUUCAUUAUCCAUAGCCAUUUCAAGUCGAAGGCUGUUCAUUAUUUAUACCCAUUUCAAGUCAAUGGAUCUCUCUUCUAAGAUAUGAAGGUCAAGGUAUGCUGGUUUAUUAUUUCAAACGAAGUUCAAGAUUCAUUUUUUGAGCAUGAUUCCUUGGUUAUUUGAUAUUCAUUGCAAUAACAAAAACACAAAAGGACAAACCCAAUCAAGUGAUUCUAUACGAAUGGCAAACUAUUGAAGAUUUCUCUCUUGGAUAAUUAAGUCCAUCAAGAUUCAGAGAGACUUUCGGACUGUCUGAUUACCCUCAAUAGAGCUUAAGCAUUGUACACCUCAAUGCUUUAAUAAAAUCAAAAUGUUUAUAUCCAAGCAAAUACUCAGUUCUGCGAGGCAUUCUACAGCUGAAAUAAUUGAAGAAAUUGAGAGUAUGAUUUCAUUCAACCAUAAUAAUUUUAUCCAGUGGAAUAUUAUGUUGCACUUCCAUUGUUUUAUUUAGUCUAUUAAAGUCUAAGAAAAGACAAUAUGCCCUUCCAUAAUAGCAAGGAGAUAGCAGCUAACCAAAAGAAUGCAAAAACAUACGCAACAAUAUGCCAAUUGUCCAGACCCCUAUAUCGCAUAAGAACUAGAUAUAUGCGAUCAUAAAUUCAUAAUACAAUCACAUACUACCUCACAGGUUCAAGCAAAACAAGACUGAUAAAGCCAAAUAUGUCUGAAAAUAACAGCUAACUAAAAAACGUAUAGGCUACUAAUUGCAAAAAGUUUGAGCCAAGACCGCCAACAAAAUAGUUACGGACUUUCUCCAACAACAAGGAGGUCAGAUACUCACCAUGUGUACCUGACAAGUACAUAUUUUGGCCAAUGUUGUGGGUUCCAAAAGUUCUUGCGUAUGUCAGGAUGUACCUCAAUAUCUGCUCAAAGCAAAAAUAUAAAUCAAAACUGACAAAUUGUAUUAACAAAUCAUGUGCCUCAACCAAUUAAAGUUGAAACCUUUAGAAGCAAUCGUUAAAAAGGACAAAACGCUAGAAGAUAUUAAUAUCCAAGAAAACAGACAAAGCAACAGAAAAGGGUAAAAAAAAAAAUUCCACCUUUUUCAAAGGGUAUCUGCCUAUUACGUUGAUUAGAGAUUUCGUAGUACUCACAAAUUCAAAAGAUUAGGUGUGAGUUUCUUAACUAGAAGAGAAGUUUUAUUUUCAGUUCUCAGCUAAUAGAGAUGUACUUUAAGUGUUCUAAAAGUAUAAAACCCAGUUUUGAAAGCAAAGCAUUGAUAAGCUGCUCUUAUAGAAUUGUCCUGUAGAUGUCAAAUAUCUAUUCAGAACUUCAGAAUCUUCUGGGCACUCCCUGUCAAAAACUCAAGGAAUAACCACACAAAAAUCCGUUAACUAACAGUUGAUAAAUACCAUGUAUUCUUCACAUAUUCUUUGUGAAGGAAGAGAAUUUUCAUCCUUUCAUUAGAAAAAUUAUAGACCCCAUAAAUCUUUCGAAGUGGAAAGAAAUAAGCUGUUUAGCAUCAACCAUAGUUCAAAGAUGUUGGUUGCAGCAUAUAAUAUGAGAGGAAGAGCAAUAGGGGAUUGCAUACAGUGGUGAGGCAUGUCGACAACUUUCGCAGUGACGCCAUGUAAAUCAUUUCCAGAGUACCUCUGUACAAAUAAAUUUGCACUUUCACUAAUUCAGUCCCAAACAAUAUGUUCUGGUGAUUAUGCAAUAAUAUUGCUAACUUACUAGUUAUGCAUUGGAAUUGACUCAGAGAAAUCAGUUAUAUACAACAACUAUAUUUGUACAAAUAGAAACAGCAUAGAAAUCUCUUACCAAAUGAAAAUCUAUCAUUGGCACUUCAGAACUUUUCCGGUUAAUAACAUAUAGCCAAGGAACGUAAAACUUUUCAUGGCCAACUUGGAAAGAUCUGUGCAGCAAUCAUCAUCAGUAUGUAAUAUGUUGAUCAGAACAAUAUAUCUUAAAAACUGUUAUGUGAGUCAUGUGACUAAAAAGAAAUGAACUUGAACUAUUUAUACUUUCCAUGCACUUGCAGCAGAUCGUUUUAUCCCCACCUCUACCUCGUCAUCAAAUUACUUAGUAAAUAAUCCCCUGAAAUGGUAAGCAUAGAAUUGCUUGUUUCUAUCACUUUCUUCUAUGCAAAAAAUAUUUUUAUUCCAUCAAAGGCCGCAUUUUAUGUUGCACGACAGCCAGAGCUACGUUGUUCAAUCAUAAGGCCCGAACCAAAUGGCAAAAUUAAUAAUUAUCAAACAUCUACCACUUCUUAGUCCUCUAUUUACUCAUUGCCCGUGCUAGGUUCAGAACCUACAGAUGAUGUUCUUAACCACCGGUCAAGGCACUAAGGCAUAUCGUUUGAGGUCAUACAUUUAACCAAGCCAAUCCAAGACUACCCAACUGGGAGAGAGAUAUCUCGGCAUGCCAGCUCAUUCAACCAAGUUAAUUCUGCUACACUGAUACAAUUAUCGAUCAUGAUUUUUCUUAGUAGGCUAAAGACCACGAUACCGGCUGUAUUAGUACCACAAUCUAAGCACUAAAAUGCACUCUUUGAUAAAAAACGGAUCAGAGCAUACUAGAAAAGCCACCAAUUAACAAGGCAGAACAAGGUUCAUUCAAAUCGAGUGAUCGAGGCAAGGGCUUGCGUGCUACUACAAUACCGUCACGAUUGUUUCUCUCCAAGACUGCAGUUCUACUCGGUCUAUCAAAUAAAUAUUAACUUAAUAAAUUGAUAAAUAGUUCGAAUUGAAGCAACAAUAUCACCGGAACCUCACAAUGCCAGGUAAAUAGAAUCAUAAUUCGAAGAAUAACAACACCGAUGCAAGAUGUAAAACUCGUAAAGCUUACAUCUUAUAUGGAUCCGUCCCAGUGUACCCAGUAGGUUUCGGAAUGGGCAUUAGAACCUUCAUAUGGUAAAUCGAAGAAUCAGACGAAGAAGCAACAAAACUAACAAUGGAGAAUGAUCGAUUCCUACCUCACGAUUAACAGCAAAAGCAGGGCAAUGGCGCCCGACGACAUCGAACCAAACCGUUCUCGACUACAAUUUUGCGCAGAAAACAGAUCAAAUCGCAUCAAACCGAAAGGUGAAAGAGAGAUUGGGGGGGAGAAGGCGGAUUAGGGUUUUGAAAGGGGGUUCUCACCCCGUGGUAUUGCCCCGCUUUGCUCAAGGGGACGAUGUCUCCGGGCUUAUACGCGAGGGAAAUCGGAGCCAUGGACGAGAUCCAGAGGAAGAAGACGAAGCGGAGGGCGCAUCCAUGGGAGUCGCCACGAGGUCGCGCCAUGGGCGAGGUGGAGUUACGGGACGAGUGGUAGAGGAAACCGACUCGCAAACACGGGUUAAAGAGAAAAAAAGAAAAACCAAUUCGUGAUCUCUCUUCACGUCACUUUGAGAUUCGUGCUACUUAUGUGACGAACGGCGGAUACUGUAGUCUCACGUUAGGAAGCGGCUCACCAUAUUCUUGUUCGAGUAUUUUGGAUGAUGAGCCGCGAAUCUUGAUGCACAAGGAGAAACUCCACAGUCCACACUCGAGUCUCCUUCUAUAAGUCGUGUAGCCUCGGGGAAUUACUCCGUAGAUUAUGUGCACCACAUCUGUCGUGCACCGCCCAGUCAUACGCCGUCCACCCCUACCAGUUUGAUCCGAGUGGACCAAAUUCCACGAGCCGGUUGGAAAUGGCCUAAUGACUUUUUCACGAACCAACAGUAAUAAAAUUCAGCUCGGAGUAAUAUAACUGUAAACCGAAAUUUUAAAUUAAAGCUUUGAUUUUAAAUCUACUAAAAAAGAUGCAUAAAUUUCUAUUUAUCAAAUGCACUGUUCUCUUACUUUUCCAUUGACGUGAUUUACUCAGAAAAUCUCUUUCUUCAGUGUUCUAUACAUUGAUCGUCACUUGAACAUCUUUCUUUGACGAAUAAGGUCCCGAUAUGUUAUCUACUUCGAGAAUAGCGACUCAGAUAUUCAAAUCUUAUCUCCUUCCCGUUACUUCUCUGUCCAUUGUCCGGCAAGCAUCUAACUCGAAUUCUGCUAAAUUUAAUCCUUUUGGAUCGAUCCUAGCUCGAACAAUGAUUGAUUCGAAUUUUCGGUGGUUGUCAUUUUGUUACUACGAGCUCAUCCUUUUUCUGUAGGCCUGGUCCGAAUUUGGGAGGAUUUUCGAAAGCUUGCCACAGUUUUUGUGUAGGGGACCAGUAGAAAUACAAACAUCUUAUUUCCAGGUACAAAUUUCCCCACCUCUCGUCCAACCCUAUCAUCGGAUUCAAGAAAAAACACGAUGACUGUGUGUUUUUUUUUAAAAAAGGGCCCUAACAAUUUGAAAACGACGCGCCAACGUCUAGUCAAUCUCUAGUCCUCUCUCUUUUAAUAACGAAGUUACAAGGAUCAGGCUCACGACGCUCAAACACGCAUCAUUUUAAUGUUCGACUCUUAACCAAUACCAAGUAGAAAAAACCUGUUGUCAUAUCCCAAAAUAAGGCCCUACUCGCAUAUACUUCCACAUUUGUCCUCAACCUGAAUCAUAAGAUCCUAAAUAGAGGGGACACGCACCUAACGUAAAUUUGGAAUAAAUCAUUUUCACAAUGUGGUCCGACGAUGCCAAUCAUUGUAGCUGCGUUACAAGUAUUAAGUGUUAUAUAGCAACUUAACCAGUUUGGAGCUGCGGUGCCCUCUUCAUUCUCAGGUUACUACUUCAUACUAUCUUUUUAACUUGAUGUUAUAGUUGAAUCUCAAGUAACUAUCAAAACUUUAUACGACUCGGAACUAGGCAUAUUUUGACGAAUAUAACAGCUUCGUGAUGUAACUUGUCAAGAUUAUUUAUAAAUCAUUUUCUAUCGAAUCGAUUUAGUGCGACAUAUAUAUAGUAUAUAUUAGAGCUAAACUCUACUUUUUUUUUGUUAGUGUUUUUAAAUCGAGCAUCUAUUUGAGUAGGAAAAGACGUACAAACCCAUUGUUUGAUGGAGACUCAACUACCAACGGCAAGAGAGGAUAGACGAAGGUACGACGAACGAAUGUACGGAGGAAUUGGGUGAUAGGCAAUAAUUAAUUCUUAAAGCAGACAAACGGUUAUGAUUAAGCGACUUGAAAGGUUAGAUCGUAAAUUUAAAAUAUUCAGAGCGAAUUGAAAGGUUCAGCUUUUCAUAAUUUUUAUUUCUCCUCCUUUUAUUUGCCAAGUAAUUUUUUUUCGCUCUUUAUGCGUGUCUCCAGUGUGAUCUUCCUCCCCUUUUUACUAUAGUUUUUGUGAACUGCAAGCGCUUCGUCGCAAAGCUGAUUACUUCCUCCGAAUUAGAUUUUCAAAUUUUGUUUCAACUUUUGCUGGUUCUCAACGUAGGCAUCACUCAAAGAGGUAAUAUGAGAGAACACUCUGGCCUUUGGAUCAUAGCUCUCAAAACACAUCAAAAGCAUCUUUUAUUAUUAUCAUUAUUAUUUCUCAGACCCAUUUGUAGAUACUGUAAGAUCCAUGCGAGCCACUAUCAACUUACUAUUUAUUACAUGCUGGGAAUAUUUCCUGGCUAUGUUUUUCUCCUGUAUAUGUUUGUCUACGAGUAAAAGAAAUGUAUUGGAAUAGAAUCCAUGAAUCAUGAUAAGGUGCCUUCAUUUGGUACACUUUGUGAGUACUAGAGACAAAUUAACUCCAAAGAAUUAAGGGGCUGCUUCUUCCAUUAAUUUUAUCAUAUUUUUCAUGGGGUGAAGAGUGAAAAGGAUUGGUUUAAUGAUUUGGUGCGCUCUCAAGCGAUCUCCAUUAAGUUUUGAAAUUCACAGGCAUGUUCAUCAGUAUGCUGACUUAUACUGCACAAGUCAAUCAGCGCGUAACAUAUAUAUUAACGUAUAGAUAUAGAUGAUCCAUACUCAUAAAUUUAACAAGCUUUCCCUUAAGACCUAAAAAUAAAAACAAAAUGAAGCAUUGAUCAAGCCUCUGAUGAGCAAAGCAUAACAACAAGAAUUAUAUGCUAUUUUCAAUAGUUAAGUCCCUACAGAAACAUAUGCACACUACUAAUUUCCUUAAAAGAGUAGGAGAUCAAGCACAAGUAAAAUACCAUGCAAUAUCACUUCGAUUAUACACUUCCACACCAACACCACUUUAAUUCACACACAUUCUUUUCAUAUACAUAUUAUAUAUAUUCUAUACCUAGAAAACUACAAUGUGGCAUCAUUGAGAUGAAUCCAAAUUUGCUCAAAAACCUUCACAAUUACAGCAUGGUACUCUCUAGAAUUCAAAGCUAAAUAACAAGCCAAUAACUCCUCCAAAUCCUUCGAAGAUUGGAUAUCGUUUUCGACGAUCAUCUCAACCAUGCUCUCCUGGAAAUCCCUCUGAGGGUCAGAAGAUGACUUAACCACCACAAAGCUCUCCAUGAAUCCCUUCCUCUGCUUCGCCUCUGUUUUGCUCCUUGCGAGCCGCGGUGAGCCCGGCCGGACCCGAAUUCUGCUCAGGCUUCUCCGCUUGUGGUCCGACCUCGGCUUGUCGGCUUGUCGCUUGGUUGGUUUCGUUAGGAUUGGCGGGAGCUCCAUCGGUUUACCGACGUCGAAAACUAUGUCGGUGGCGGAGGUGGUGACAGAGAAGCUCUGUGAUUCUAAGCUCCUGGCGAUGAUCGUCUUGCGCCGGUGAUCGUCGUCCUCGGUGUAGACGUCGCGGUCGAAGGGGCGGGUGUCGGGAGCCGGUUCGGGCUUGUUGGAAGCAGAGGUUGAGACAGAGGAGGCGAUUUUGGGAGAAGCUCUUGUGAGCUUUUUGGCACUGAAUUUCUUGGACUUGGAUUUCCUUGGUGGGUCUGUGGGGAAGUGUGUGGUUGGGGGAUUGGUGAGUUUCAUAUCUUUGCUUGGGAAGUAGUAUGAGGCUCUGUUUGGGAGGUAGAAUGUGUUGGGUGGUGGUGGAGGAGGAGGAGGAGGAGGAGGCUUUGGUGGUGUUGGAGGAGGAGGAGAAGAGGAGGAGGAAGUGUGUGCUUGAGAAUUGCAUCUCUUAGCAGUGAUUUUUGGGCUUCUCUGGCCUUUUUUGCUACCUCCCUUCAUGUCUCUGAGCUUGUAUAACCAGGUGUUUGGUAUCAUAUUGGAAAGCCUAAAUUUGUGGUUUCCCAUGCAAAGAGAUGCCACAAUAUUUGUAUCAAAGAAGAAGAGCCCUCUCUCUCUCUCUCUCUCUCUCUCUCUCUCUCUCUCUCUCUCUCUCAAGGACAAUACAACCAAGAAAAUGAGAGGCUAAAGAGGAGUAUGUUGUAACACUUGAUAUUGCUUAUGUUUGCGAGUUAAAAGCUUUACAUGCCCUUUUCCAAAAUAUAAAAUUAGAAAAAUAGGAGCUUGAGAGGUUAACUUUGUUAAAUUGUAGGAGCAGUUGUUGUUUAAUAUUUACACAUGUUGUAUAUCUUUUUAUGUUUGUGUUCGAGACACCAGAGAAAAUUAAAUAAAAUUAGAGGCCUUCUAGGGCUCGACUUUAGAAUUUUCUAUUCUGAUAUUAUAUUGAAUUAUGUAUAACAAGUAUUAUUCUUCAAAAAUUUAAACUUAAUAUUUUUAAUAUUUAAAUUCAACAAAUUCUACUCCCAGAACACUAUUAUGGCUUUAUGUUUCAGAGCUUAAUUAUUAUUUUAUUUUUGGAACCGUUAUAAAAAAUUAUUUUUAUUCUUAUUCUAUAUAGGUUGGGGGCCCGAUUAUGACUAUUAAAAGGAACAAACACAGUGGCCUAGUACUAAAUUCAUUUUUGGAGGCUUAGCCACGUACGCAAAGGAAACAACAUCAUGAUUGUUAUUAUUGAGCACCUAUGCUACAACAUUUUACCAAAAGAAGGGGGGGUGGGUUUUGGUCAAUCAUGUGUACUGCUUUGGAGGUGCCUUGAGUGUUUACACCCUGUUGAGAAACAAAAAUACUCGUGUAUGUGACAAAAUAUACACUGCUCACUUAAGGGAAGUGAUGGGCUCUUCAACAUCCAUGCUAGGAGCUUUCACACAAACACACAAACAGUGAACUAUGGCUUUCUACAUGUACCCCUCAUAAGUGUGUUUUUUUUUUUUUUUCCUUUCUUUUCUUAUUUUUUUUGUGUGGCAAAAAUUAUAGUUAACUUAAUUUGGUAGCUAGCUUUACAAUUUAAUUCAUGAAUGGUAGUUGGUUUUAUUAAGAGUUACUUUCGUAAGCACAAUUUUAUCCAUGUGUAUAAAGCUAAAGAUUUGUUUCAAUACUUAAAAAUAUUCUUUCUGAUUAUUAACCAGACUUGCAAUAUUGAAUAGAUAAGAAGUAAAGUGUACAAAGGUGUAGCAUAGUAUUUUUUUUAAAAUAAGAUAAACUAUGUUGUAACCGCCAGUCAAUCGGACUACAUGUUGGUUUAUACUAUCAACUCAUGCUUAAUUUCCAUAUGAAUGUGUGCAUAACUUGGUGCUUAUGAUAUGGUCCAUGAAUACUAAAAAGAAAAAUUACUUCUUAAGUAAAGUAUAUUAUUCUAAAAAAAUUAUGAUUGCCAUGUAAAAUAUAAAUAAUUUGCAGGGGCAUAUAUGCAGCUACCACUUCAUACGACAAAGUAGAUUAGUAGGAUCUAUAAAAGUUUGGUAUCUAUGUGUCAUCCUACUACUCUAGUCACAUUGGAAUCACAUGGACUAUUUUAUCUUUCAAAAAUGUAAUGACAUGAACCUAUCAAAUCACUGAUGUAAUAUGUCUAAUUUGUUUACUUUUAGUUGUUACAUUGUGUCAAUUGUUUCCACCAAAGUAAUAGAUUUAUAGAAGAAAUAGUACUUGAGAAAUUUGGAAGCACAUGAAGUACUUGCUUUGGCAUUUUAGAAACAAACUGUAGUUUCUAUACACACUCAUACCACAUGUAAAAUUAAAGAUAUAAUAGACCAUGCAUGUAUUCUCUCUCUAAUAAUAUUGACACCUAACUUUCUAAAUGUAUCAAAAGACCACUUUCUUGUCACCUCCAUCUUAUUCAAGAACUUCUUUUUUCCAAACUUGGUAGAACAAGCUAAGGCACAUCUUUUAUGCAACAAAUGUCAAAUAGUAGGUCAAGCUGACAAGAUAUUAUUAUCUGCAUCCGAUGCAUUGUUACAUUCAUCUUAAAAUAAAAUUCUAAUUCAAUAUGUGAGAUCUGCAACAUCUAGCAAGCCUUAUAUAAAAAUAAUAAGUUUUGUAAGCAUAUAAUUACUAAAAUAUCAACAACUUCAAGAAUUCAGGAGUGUAGCAAACGAUGUUUCUCGGAUGUUACUCCAUAGCCUCAAAAGUAUUAUUUUACGAUAGCGAUACAUGGUGCACAAGGUGCAUGUAAUUAUUUCUCUAAAUUCAGUAAAACUUUUGGGAACUUUAAUUUAAACCUUUUGGAAAAACAUAGAGCAUGAUCUCUUUAUAGUUGAGCCCCUCCAUUUCAAAAAGCUCCACCAACCCAAAUAGGGACUGCUCGAAAAGGUUUUUUUUUUAAAAGAAAUGGGGGUCCACCACUUCUAAUUUCUUUUGACUGGAAAAAUUUCAGCAUUCUCAUUAGCCUUUUUUCCCCUUCCCGGGAGAGUACUUUACAGCAAAGAUACAUAAACUUUAAAUUUGUCCUCUAAAAUCUUACAAAAAGUUUAAUGGUUGGUAUCCUAAAUUAAAAAAAAUCUAAUUAUUUUAUAUUUCUAGUUGAGUUAAUUUAUUUUCAAAAAAUGAAGGAAAUGGAUAGUAUUCUGUCUUUCUUUCAAAAAGUAAAAAUAGAAACAUACAAAUGUUUCUUGAACUAUAAAUUAUGAAUUAUUUUCAUUUGGCCAUCAACUUUUUAAAAUUUUGAUUUUUUACUAUCUAAUUUUUUAAUUUAUUUAAUUUGAGUCGGUCAAUAGCACUUUGACUUUAAUAUUUAAAUGUGUUGCUUAUCUUUACAAGUCUAAUUAGUAUAUUUUAUAUAAUUCUCGUAAUUGUAUAAAUUUAUUAAAAUAAUUAGCUAGUUUAAAUUUUUAAAAUUAAAGUAUCGUUGACUGAUUCAAAUCAAAUAAAUUAAAAAAAAUAGAUAAAAAAUUCAAAAUUUUGAAAGUUGAUAGUCGACUCAUUUAAUCCAUAGUUCACAUAAGUUUUAUAUGUUUUUACCAAAAAAUAAAAAUAAAAACUUAAGCUUUUAAUGAAAAUCAAUUAAUUCGCAUUUAUAGAAUCAAAGAAUCAAAUUUGCGCCUAAUUUCAUAGUUUAACGUUUUGGAGGAAACCAAUUUAUCACAUAUAGUAUAAAAGGAUUAAAUUUGUUCUCUAAUAGCUUAACAUUUUUCUUUUUUUAGAGAAAACCAAUUUAUUUGCAUAUAUAUAGAGAAAGAGGGGCUAGGAUUACUACACUCUUAUGAGUAUAGACCCUUUUGUACUCAUUAGCUUUCGACUGUUAGAUCUAUCUAUUUGAUUUUUUUUUCACUCGUUAGAUCAUAUUAUUCAACCGACCUCCCAUUCAAUCCUAGAAACCACUAUACCCAUAAGAGUAUAUAUAUAUAUAUAUAUAUAGAGAGAGAGAGAGAGAGAGAGAGAGAGAGAGAGAGAGAGAGAGAGCGCGCGCUAGGCUAGUUUACUAUCGGUAGCAGGGAGGCCUCCGUGCUACCGAUAGUAUACCAGCCUAGCUCUCUUUAUAUAUAUAUAUAUAUUAUGAAAGGAACAGUGCUACAUAAGUGCUAGGUAAGUUUUUUUUUUUUUUUUUUUUUUUUUUUUUUUUUUUUUUUUUUGAGAGAGAGAGAUAUGUAGCACGGUACCCGCUUCGGUUAUUUCAUUUAGAAAUACACUUAGCUGUAAAUGUGAAUCAACUAGGAUUCGAACUUAGGUCUUGGAUACCAACCACCAAAUCCUUUGCCACUUGCUCUAGGGACGGCCGGUAAGUGCAAGGUAAGUUGAACAGUGUUAUACAGUAUCAAAGUUUCUUCUACAAUAUAAUUGGGAAGAAUAAGCAUAGAGUUGGGAGAUAGUAAUGUAGAUAAAUUACUAAGCCUCCGUUUGGUUCGGGGUUAAGAAAAAAGUAGUUAUUCCAGGAAUAGAGUUAAGUUCGGGGUUAAAGUGGGGUUAAAAUUUUUUUGUGUUUGGUUGGGGGUUGGAGUUAGUCUAGAAUAAUAAAAAAUAGUGUUUGGUUAGAGUAGGUGAGAUAAGAAGAUAAUGAUUGAUAAAGAAGGAUAAUGAUUGGUUGGAGUAGGUGUGAUAAGAAAGAUAGUAGGUUAUUAUGAAUAAAAAAUAGUGUUUGGUUGGAGUUUGGUGGGGUUAGGUGGGGUUAACUAACCCGAGAUAAUUUAUUUGAGGUGGGGUUAGCUAAUCCCAUCCAUUUGUUAGGGUGUUUGAGGAUAAUAUGGGGGUUAAGGGGUUAUUCCACCCCUUAACCCCCAACCAAACAAGGGCUAAAAGCAUGGUUCGAUGUUGGAACAAGUUCUCCAGUUACAUUUAUUAUAAUCUAUAAACUUAAUUUUAGUCCAUUAUAAGGUCUUGAUAGCCAGAUUUUCAUUUCCAAGAUAAUGCAUUUUACCUAUCUAAUUAAGAAAGAUUUACUUUAUGCCGGUAAAAUAAUUUAGACAUCAUGCAUAUAUGAUUAAAUAUUUAAUCUCCUCGAUCAUGCAUUUUUCAAUUGUCACAAGUUUUUCAAGCGCACAGAUAUUGUGAGUCGAACAAGAUGCGCGGGCAUCCAAACAAGUCCAAAAGAGCAAUCAAAGUACGACUUUGGGACUUAUUUGGAUGCUUAACAUCUCAUUUAUUUGCUCAACAAGUUUAUACUAUCUACUCUCAAAUACGUAAAAGGACAUUCAUAUCUGUUAUUUUCUUCGAAAUAAGAUAAAUUAUUUUAUAGGUAAAAAUACAUAAUCCUCCAAACACGUAGAAGUACAUAUAUAUCUGGCGAUCAUGUUAUCUUCUUUGAAAUAAAAUAAAUUAUUGUAUAGGUGAAAAUACAGAAUCCUCCAAAUUAAGAGCUAAAAGCGAAUUCCGGUCAACAAUCACAAAUAAAAAAAAGAUAGAGAGAGAGAGAGAAACAUUCUCAUCGCAUGUAAGUAUGUAGCUGUAAAAAAACUCGACUUAUUCUGGCGUUCAAACAGGAUCAGAAUACAAUUCUCGGAAGGUUAAUUCAUUUUUGAAAAUCUAUCUUUCCUCCAUUGCCUUCCUUUGCCUGCAAGUGUGCAGAGUCCUGGUGGUGGGGAUCAUAUUCGUUCAAGCUGGCUGAGACAGAACGGAAAGCUACCUCUACUGCUGCAUUGCCAUGUGAGGGCCGGGGGACCGAGACAGAAUGUCGUCGCUCACUAACUUGCAUCCCGUUAUUACGCAUCCAUCUCAAAACUCUGGACCACAAUUAAUGUUAGUUUCAAGUUUAAAGCCCACCGACUUCAUAUUUUCGACUAAGUUUAUUUUUGACUGUUCGUAGACCAAGUGGCCAACACAAAAUUGAUGGGUGGACGUGAAGUUUCAAGUUCAAUACUCAGUUACUUUAUAUUUUUAGCUAAAAUUCAUUUUCGGUUGUUCCCGGAACAAGUGGCGAAGAAAUUGAUGAACAGUAUCAAAGUUUCAAGUUCGAAACAUAGUUAUUUCAUACUUUUAGCUGAAUUCAUCUGUGGCUGUUCCUAGACGAUCGAAGUGGCAAAAGACUUGAUUGGUGGUAUCUGGAGUUUCAAGCUUGAAAUUUUUGGUUGUUCCUAGACUAAUUGGCAAAAAACUUGAUGAUCGGUAUUCGAGAUUCUAAAUUUGAAGUAUGAUUAUUUAAUAUUUGUAGUUGAACUUAUUUCUGAUUGUUCUUAAACCAAGUGACAAAGAACUUGAUUGUUGGUAUAUGAUAUUUUAAGUUUGAACCUUAAUUGCUUUAUAUUUUUAGCUAAGUGUUUUUUGAAAAAAAUUAAAAAAAAAGAAAAAAAUUCAGCUAUAUUUAUUCUUUCCAGUUCCUUAUUUCGAAAAGCUAGUAUAUAUAUUCUAAAAAUUAUAUGUAUAUGGACUUAAUUAAUAGUUUUUAAACUGUAAUAUUAUUUUCUUUUUUUUAUUUUUUAUUUUCUUAACUCUUUGGGAACGUUACGUGGUCCAUAUACAAAGAAGCUUAGAAAGCCACUUGGGGAUUAUUACGCCAACCUCCAUGAGGACAAAGACGAGGACACGAUCAUAAAGGCCUACACAAAGGACUCAUUUGAAUGUGUGUGUGUCGAUAUAUAUAUAUAUAUAUAUAUAUAUAUAUAUAUAUAGAGAGAGAGAGAGAGAGAGAGAGAGAGAGAGGCUAUCGGAAGCACGGAGCCUUCCGUGCUUCCAGCUCGUUUUCGAUGUUGCGACUUUCGAUUCGUCGAUCGGCUCCGUUAAACUUGAUCUAAAGUAUUUGAAGUACUUAGAAAAUAAAUUUUAUGAUUUUAUGAUAUCAUUUGCCUAGUGAACGAAGGGACUCAAAAUCAACGGCUGAAAAUAAAAAUGUUACAAAAUGUAAUAAUAUGACAUUAAAAUUUUAAAUCAAAGAUAUUGAUCUUGUUUUAUAUAGUAUAAAUAAUUUCUAUCAAAAUUUCACGUGAUUUGGAUAUUUCUACACCGUUAAACUUGCAAACGGCUCACUACGGCCAUUGAAUUUGUUGAUUUUGAGCACAUUCGAUCACUAGGCAAAUGGUAUCGAAAAAUAAUAAAAUUUAUUUUCUAGGUACUCCAAAAACUCUAGAUCAAGUUUAACGGAGCUGAUCGACGAUUCGAAAAUCGCAACAUCGAAAACGAGCUGAAAGCACGGAAGACUCCGUACUUCCGAUAGCAUAAUAGCCUCACUCUAUAUAUAUAUAUAUAUAUAUAUAUAUAUAUAUAGUACUUCAUUGGACACGUCAAACAUAAGUUUAUUUAACAAACAAGGUGGCAAUUUAGAGUACGUCGAAGAAUGAUUACAUUUACAUAGUGGGAGAGUAUUAUCAUCAGCUGAUAGAGAUUGUUUGUUUGUUCUUAAAUUUUUAGAAAGAAAAAAUUUUAUUAAAAAACACCUUUUUUCACGAUUUUUAUUUUUCUGAUAAAAUAUUUAGAAAAUAAAAGUACUUUUUUUUUAAUAAAAUCUACAAAAGAAAUCUGAAAGAUACUAUUGUUUUUAGAAAUAAAAUGGAUGAAAAAUGUUUUUCUAAUCAGAAAAUUAUUUUCCGGAAUAUUGUUUGAAAAACCAAACACCUUCUAAGUCGAUAUUGGUUGCGAUUUCAAACAAGAACUUUCGUAGACAUGGAAGAAACCAGAGUUUAAGCUCAGGAGAGGACGGCGGGGCAAGAAUACACAAGAGCUUUAUCUUAAAAGAGAUUAUACAAAACAAGUUAUAACACAAGUUAGCGACCGUCCCUAAGAGUAAGUGGCAAAGGACUUGGUGGUUGGUAUUCGAAACCCAAGUUCGAAUCCUAAUUGAUUCAUAUUUUUAGCUAAGUUUAUUUUUAAAUGAAAUAAACAAAGCGGGUUGCGUGCUACCUAUCUCUCUCAAAAAAAAGUUAUAACACAAGUUUGAUGUGCAAAUUGUUUGUUGGCUCGACGUCAAAAUUAUACUCGAUGUUCUUUUAGUCGCGAAAUUUUUCGAUAAUUGAAUUAAACAAUAGAGAAUUUCUCAGUGAUUUGUUUUUCAAUAUGUAUGAUUAUAGAGAAGUUUUUUCGGCCUACAAGUUUUAUAAGAAAUUUUCAUAUAGAAGUUUUAUGAGAAAAUAUUUUAUCUUGAACUCUAAAAACUAGAAUUUAUAAUAUUUUAAUUAAACUGUGUUGAUGCUAUUUUAAUUAUUAUUAUUAUUAUUAUUAUUAUUAUUGCAAAAAUAAAUAAAAUGUUAUUUUUAUUCCAUUUUCCAUCAUAUUUAAUGUGGUUUUUUGCAAUCCUAAACUAAGCCUAAUUAAGACGUGUAUGUAGCAUUACCACACAUAUAUUAUUUUUAUUCUGUAGAGAAACCUUUUUAUUAUUAUUACUAUUUCUUUUUUUGAAAAACUGGGCAAGCUAUUCCGGGCUUAGAUGGGCCUAGGCUUAAAAGGAGCCUUUUGGGCUCUUAUUUUACACCCACAUUUAAUCCCAAAAUGAAGUGGGCCAAGCUUUAAUGUUCGUACUUAACUCUAUGUUAUUUAUUUAACCAUAUUACAAAAAGAGUUUUUUUUCUUUGUUUGACUUUUCUUUUGGCUUCUUCACUUUGAAAUUUGAGACAGAUCUUGUUUUUCAAAAUUUUUGAAACUUCUCGUUUCAUGCUACCGAAGCCAAAUUUACACGAAAAUCUUCUCUGUUUCACAAAAAAAAAAAAAAAACGGUGUUCCGAGCAAUUCCAAUUAUUCGUGUGAAAAAAUCGGCAUUAAGGUUGUAUCGUAUGUAAUUGCACAGUAGGGAGUAAAGGAGCUGAGCAUAUCGAGAGUGGAAACAUGAAAUUUGGUUAUUGAGUUUAUAUAUAUAUAUUAAUGAUCUUCUCUAAAUUUAUUUAUUUAUAUAUAUAUAUAUAUAUACAUAUAUAAAGUUUGUUUUAGAUCCAAGAACAGCUAUUUGCAUACAAAAAGUUUAGUAAAACUCGAAAGUUCGACACGUAAAAUGUUUAGCGAACACAAAGUCUAGCUUUUUACUAUAAUUACCAAACAGAAACAAGCUUCUAUAUAUCUCUCAUAAAGAAAAGAUUGAAAUUUCAAAAACUAUAAUAAGAGGCGAAUUAAAUAGAAAUUUUAUAAAUGUAAUAAUAAUAAUAAUAAUAAUAAUAAUUGUAUAUAAUUAUUUUGCAUAUUUUAAUAUAGUAUCAGAGCAGAAGAUUUUAAAUUCUAAUCUAAUUUAAAGUUCAUAUAUUGAGCUUAUAAAGUGAUGUAGACGUGAGGGGAAGUCGCCGAAUAGCCGCUAAACUAGGAGUACAAGUCAUUGACUGGAAUUGGCAUCAAAUAUUGCCAAGUUUCUUCAUUGCAGCCCCAAACUUAAUAUAAAAACAAAUGACAAGAGAUUUGCAACGCUAAGCAAAGUCUCCAAAACAUCCACAUUAGUUCGUGAAACCAACAAUUAAUUAAUACUCCGAAAAAACAAAAUAAAUAAAUAAUAAAUAGAAUUAAUAUUACAUGGUGUAGCUUUUCGUAGUAUUUACAUCUUUCAAUUGCACACACAAAAUCCAAAGGAAAAAAAAAAAAAAAACCCAAAGAAAAAGAAAAUGUAUACAUAUGAUAUCUUUUGUUUCUCCUAACCAUUUAGGCUGGGCGCAGCAAAAUGUCAAACUUUCUACAAAAGGCAACGAUAUUCGAAGAGGAAAAUUAUUACCGACAACAUAGAUAAAUUAAAUCUGAUCAUAUCUAUAAACAUACGAACAAUGAUCAGAUUCAAUUAUCGAAAAAUUUUUCGCUUCAUUAAUACCACUACCCUCUAUUUCUAUCUGCUCAGCACAUCCAUCGAAAACUUCGCCUACGUAAAAAGUUACAACAAGAAGUUUUUGACUUUGUACGUAGACAAGUUGUCGAAACAUGUACCUUAUGCCACGCAAAGAUAUAUAUAGUAUAAUAUUGGUCGCUUGGAUCAAUCCCUUUGAUCAGUUGUUAUCGCCAUUGGUGCCUCCGCUGGGGCCCGACGGCGGCACGGUCCCCCGCGGGAGGGCGUUGAGCAAAAGCGCUUCGUACUUCUUCGCGAUCAUCGACCUGGUCGUCGCGGGGAUGAUCUUCGCAUGGCCUCUCUCCCUGAGGUGCAAAGAGCUAGUGCUCCUCAAAUGCCUAGCAGUGGCUUGGUGAGAGAAAAUAAGGAGGAGGAGAAAGAGAAAGAGUAUGGUGGUGUAGUUGAGCUUGUUUUGAAGAGCCAUUAAUUGUAGCUAGAGAGAGAGAGAAAGAGAAGGGGAUUAAUGAGAGGGGGAAUGUGUAGGGGUUUGGGGUUUUAAUGUAUGGUGGGGAGAGAAGAGAGGGGGAGGGUUAGUUAUUAUAUUGGUGUGUUGUGUUGAAAAGUUCAAAAGGGCAAAAAAGGAGAGAACGGGGAAAGGACAAGGAACGUUCUCAUUUUCUAAGACUCUGACUUGUUAAAACUUAAAAAAAAUUAGUUGUGGGUGGAAAAAAAAUAAUAUGGUUGGCGAAAAUGAAUAGACUCAGUGCACUAAUUCCUUUGUGUUCAUAUAUAGUCAAUUAGCUUAAAAUUCUAUUAAAUUUUAGGGCUCAAUUAUAUAGAUAUUAGCAUUACUUAUUAUAAAUAAAGUGAUUACGCCAUUAAAUUUAAUAAAAUUAUUAAGUAAUUUGAUAAUAUUCUUAACUUAUUUGGUUGAAACUGCUUACUAAAAUAUAUAUAUAUAUAUAGCUCAGUGAGCUAUUUUAGAAUUAAUAUCCUGUAGUUAAUUAAGGGGGUCUUCAUAAAAGGAAUUAAAGAAUAAAGGGAAUUGCGUGGAGAUUAGGAGGCAUAAAUGAUUUGAUCUUUAUGAUCUUUUUAAUUCACUAAUUAAUGACUAAAUUUACGCAUCCGUAUCGCACAAGUUUAAAGUUAGAGAGCAGCUUAUUCAAUUUGGAUUCGAAUCCAAUAAUAAUUUAUUAUUGUCGCGUAUAUACAUAUAAUAAGUUAUUGGACCAAGCGCCUUUUUGGAUAGCAAAUCUAGCUCUAACCCACAAAAGUGGGCUCAGCUUUUUUAAGGUAAACGCCACUUUGGAUCCAUAUAUCAAAUAAUCACCUAUGUGACGUGGUCAACUAAGGUUUAAUUGUAUCUUUUUAUAUAUCAAAGUUCUAUUUUACUUGCUAUUUUCCAAAAUAAAUUUACUAUUUUUAAUUAACUUUUAUAAAUAUCUCAAAUUGUUCCCAUUUUACUAUCUACCAUUGAUUUUAUUAAUACAAAAAGUACUCUAAAUGCCUGAGUAAAUGAUUUUUGAAUCGACAUAUAUAUGCACUAAAGUACAUAAAAGUAGAGCUUAUAGUUUUCGAUAAAGUUCAUUUUAACACUAGAGUUCAUUUUUGAAUCUGAAUGCCAAUUUUAUACAUAAUUAAAAGUUUAAAAAGGAUAUAUCAAAGUAAAAUUAAAUUCAACGACUACUGCUGCAAAUAACCCAUCUAGCUACGUAAUGAUGAAAUUUACGCCUUAGCUUUUCCCAAAGUCUACUAAAUAAUCAUUGAUCAUGAGGGGAUUUCAUUAUCAAUUGCGUGUUUAUUUGAAUCUAAAGAGUGGGAACUUUGAAUCAAAGCUAAUAAAGUUUACAAAAUUUUUCCACGCUGUGGAUGGCAUAGUUGGGGUGAUGCAUCAAAAGCUACCAACUCCCCCCUUUGUGUAUGGCUUUACCCAGGCUGUUUGAAUCUUGGGGAGAAAGAAAGAAAAUUAGGAAAUGGGUUAUUAAAAAAAGGGACAUGUGGUUUCCAUGGGGUUGACUUGGGACUUGGACUAUGUAUAUCUUUUUCUUAUGAUUAUUAUUAUUAUUCUCUUCAAAGGAAUGUUUGGGUGACAAAAAGAGUACCCAGAAACUACCAAAUUAUUAGUUUUUUCAACCAAAAAAAGGAAAGAACAAGGAGCUACACAUGCAACUUUUAUUUGUUGGACUUGUAUUUCCAAUUUUUGUAAUUAAUAAUACACUAAUUUAAUACGUGUUAUUUUAUUUAUUUCGAUUUUUCGUGCUAUUUAAACUCGUGCUUUUAUUUCAAAGUUGCUUACGAGGUUGCUAUAUAAAAAUAAUAUGACUAUUAUAUUGACUCAGUUAUUUCAUAAGCUCAUAAAGUUAGAAGAUUGAUAAUUGAAUCAUAUAUAACGUGAAUCAAAUUUAAUAAUUGUCACUCCUCUUUAGCUGAGGAAAUUAAAGUAAUCUAGUAAACUUGAUUCAAAUAAAUAAGAGUUAGAAAUUUAAUGCAUGGAUUUUGAGGAGUUAAGGUUAAAUUAUUUUUUUAAAAAAAUUUAUAUUUUUUGGGGGUAGUUAUUUGGUACAAUUUUGGAGGAGCCUAACAAAGCAUUCAUUUAUUACUGUGCAUCCGACGGUCCGAGGACGUCGGGGACUAUGUCUUCCUCGGGAGCCUCGCUGUCACGGAAUUCAAAGCACGCGUUGGCGAUUCCCCCGCUUUGACACGGAAUAACUUUCGCCCUCUUUAUUAUUCUAAUAAAAUAAUAAUAAAUAAUAAUAAUAUAAUAUAAUUUUGUAAAAAUGCAUGUAGGUCCCUUCAACUACUGUAGAUUGGAAAUAGAGCCCUCGACUUUAGUUUUUCAUCUUUAUUGACACCUACUAUACUUCAUGGUUUUUAUAAUUAAUUAAUAACUAAAAACCGAGGGAGUAUUUUAAAAUUGAUAAAGUUUUAAUUGUGGUUAAGUAUUAAAAAAACAAAUGAAAAAAAAAUUAAAAGCUGAGAGGGCCCCAAUCCAAAAAUGCCAAAGUUGAGGGGGUUUACGUACAUUUUAUCUUUGUUGGAUACGUUUUGGAUUUGAGUCCCAUGCAUUAAUUUAUCCCACGUCACCGCUUAUUAUUAUUACUCCAUUUAAAAAUUCAUAUUUUCCCAGCUGUGAAAAGACGUAUACAUUUCUUGCUUCGGGGGAGAAACUUCGUGGGAUUUCAACUAAGAUAAACUAAAAAAAUGAGAAAAAAAUAUAAAAAAUGAAAUUGAUAUUAUAAAUUAAUCAGGAAUAAGAUAUAUGCCGUCGAGUGAAUUGGCAUUGGUAUAAUUAAUGGUUUAUAUAAUAUAUAUUCAGGAUAAAAUUAAAUUAAUUAAACUUGGCUCUUCAUUAAAUUAAAUUUCUUUUAUUAGUAAAUUAUUAGUAAAUGGCCUAGUAUAUAUAUAUAUAGCUAGUUUUGUGUUCAUUGGUUUCUUUGCAAUCACCCGGAACUUGUUUGGAGCACAAAGUUGAAUUUAGAACUAAGUCGAUGUACUUUAGUUGAGUGUUACGAUCGUUUACGAUACGUAAGAUGAAUUAUUCCUACACAGCACAGUGUCACAAUAUUGUGAGCAAUUAAAUACUUAAAUGACAUUCUAUAAUUAUAUAUUAAUUAAUGCAAAAAAUCUAAUGGGAAAACAAUAUAAUACAUAUGCAAUAGGAUUAGUACUUAGUCAUUAAAUAGCAUCAUUUAAUGCGGUUGCAUAUAUAAAGGCUGCAGGUACAACUAAUAUUUGUGGACAUCAUUUCCUGGACGGUUGGAUUUGGUCUUAUAUGAAAAUAUUUUAGUUCAUAUUUUAGUUCUCAGGUUCGAACCUGCGACUUAGCUAGUUUUAGUAUAUUCAGUGUCGGAUCUUUGAGUUUUCAAAUUCGAAGUUUGAACUUGGAGAAUGAGACUUUCGUACUCAAGUUUGAGGGGUUUUACGAUUGCCUACGGGCCAUAUUAAACUAUAAAAAUGCGAAAUAAAUCAACGUAUCAAGAUUUCUGCAUGCAUGCUGCAGCAUUUGAAAGAAUGGCCUAGGAUUUGUUUGGCUGAGCUAAAGUCGGGGUUAUGCAAACUCUUUUUGAGCUAGUUCUUAUUUACAUCAAAUCUUCAACUUUUGUGAUGGGCCUUUUUUUUGUAAAUUUAAAAGAAAAACAAGAAAGAAAGUUUACUUUUGAAUUCCGAAAGACACUUAGUACUUAACGAUCAAUUAAAGCAUGCACUCGAUCGAAACUAGAUAUCUUUAUCCGCCAACUAUAUAUUCUAGCUACUAUAAACAACCGAAACUAAAAGUAAAAGCAGACGCUGAAAAACAUCGAUUCAAGUCAAAAACCCAGCAAGCUCACAUCAAAUUUAAUUUCCACAUGAAAUUAAUUAAUAAUAACCUACAUGAUGACGGCCACUGUUUCCUUGGGAGAAUGUCUCCCGGGGCACCUAACUACAACAAAUGUGGUGUACGUAUUUUGCUAUUAGAGUCAAUCAAAUUCUUCAUUAAAUUAAAUGUCUUUUAUUAGUAAAUUAUUAGUAAAUGGUCUAGUAUAUAUAGCUGGUUUUGUGUUCAUUGGUUUCUUUGCAAUCACCUGGAACUUGUUUGGAGCACACAGUUAAAUUUAGAACUAAGUCGCUAGCUGUUUAUUUGAGUGUUCCGAUCAUUUACGAUUAUUUGAGUGUUACGAUCAUUUACGAUACGUAAGAUGAAUUAUUCCUACACAGCACAGUGUCACAAUAUUAUGAGCAAUUAAAUACUUAAAUGACAUUCUGUAAUUAUAUAUUAAUGCAAAAAAUCUAAUGGGAAAACAAUAUGAUACAUAUGCAAUCGGAUUAGUAGUACUUAGUCAUUAAAUAGCAUCAUUUAAUGUGGUUGCACAUACGAAGGGUGUAGCUACAAUUAAUAUUUGUAGACAUCAUUUCCUGGACGGUUGGAUUUGGUCUUAUAUAUAUAACAGCUUACUUAAUAAUCCUUUUUUUUAGAAAAAAACAUAAAAUCAAGCUUCAUGCCAGAUGAUGUGAUGGACUAGGUAAGGAUUUUAGUUAU